AGAAUGCGUGCGUGCCUCAUAUUAUGGGACGGAGGGAGUAGAUAAGUAUAUACAACCCAAAAGCUACAAAGGAACAAUAAUACCUUUAUCUAGACCAAUCCGCAUCCAACGGGUGCAAGGAAGAGGUGGAGCCAAAGUUCGGACCACUCGUUCGAAUAUUUCACACGCGUCAAUAUCACCUAUACACUGUUGAAUGGAGUGAGAGACUGAGAGUGACAUAGUGCUAACAAAGCUUAGGCCCUCCUCCAGCUACUCUCGAUCUUUUUUGCGUACGUAGUAGUAAAACAGAGACCAGCUAGCUAGCUGGCUGUACAUAUUUGGCGUUGGUCUUACUUAAAUACGUACACCAAUCCAGACACAAGAGAUUCGCUAAUGUAAUUUCUCUGAACGUCAUAACGUUACGUACGGGUAGUGACAAAGUACUGACUGUCA
rnacentral:lncRNA from 1 species